CUAUUCUUUUUCUCAUUAUUAGAACCUGCAUAAUCCCUAUUGUAUUUAUUUUAAAAAUGCUGCCAAUAAUAAUCCUAUUUAUUUUGUCUAGCUCAGAUUUUCCUGGGAACAUGUAACACUCACAAUUUAGCUUCUAAUAUAUCACCCACAAUAAAGAUGACAGUUCGAAGAUUAUAAAAAUUCAGGAAUCUUGUUUCUACUGCACUUCAUUAGGUGUAUGUGAUAGGGUGUGUAGGGGAGGGAGUGACUGGAUAUAUGUUACGUGUUUUGGAAUGCCACUUUACCUCUUUUUUAAUAUUUUCAUUCAUCAAAUCGAGAUGAUAAUACCUUAUCUAUCAUUCUUGGUGGUUGUGGAGUUCAGGUGAGAGAUGAGAUAAAGUACAAUAAAAACUGACACUGAAGUAUGACUACUGAUGCAAUUUUAUAGGUUUUUUAUUAUAAAUAGUGUCUAUAUGAUAUUGCCUUUUAAAUCAUAAUGGUAAAAAACAUUAAAUAUGAUACUUUAAUAUCAGACAGCUAUAGACACAAUAGCUCAUUUAUUUACUAAGUACAUGAGCUUGGGCAAGUUGCUUAACUUUUUUAUGCCUUGGUUUUUUCAUGUUUAAGAGUAAGAAUGACUGAGUUUUCUGGAAGUUUAACUGAGAUAAUGCACUCAUACUAUUUAGUCUGGCACAAAGUAAAGACUGAAAUAUUAGAUAUUGUUAUUGACUUGGAGAAGUAUGUGGAAGGAAUAGCCUUGAUACAAACUUCCUUAGAUGGCAGGUUUGAACAAUAGCAGCAACAUUUAACAUUUUUAAUUAAUAAAAUAUUAAGUAAAGUUUAAUUUAAGUUUUAAUUUAAGUUUGUAGCCUUAGCCACAAUCAGCAUCUGAGGGGAUGAGGAAGUGCUGUUUACAACUUAAAAACGUAUUCUUUCUAGGCAUGUUGUUGGUGGUGUGGUCUACAGCCAUAAAUUGCAAGAGCCAAGAUGAUUUGACUGCCUCUUCCUGUCUAUGAUCUGCCUAUUUGGGGGUCCAACUCAACCUCUGAGAAUCAAGUUCUCCCAUGUCCAUUGUAGGCACUUCUGGAACAUAAGAAGGAACAGAUCAGCCUCAUCAAAUCAAAUACUAAUGGCUGUUUAUCAGGAGGAAAGGAACUGUCAGAACUGGAGGAAGACAUGUGCCUGCUCAUUCAUCUUUGCCCCUCUCUGCCAAUGCAGGAUAACUACUGAAAGAACAUUAUCAAGUGAUUGCUUUUAAAAUGACUUCAAGCAGUGGUGCUUCCAAUUAGAUUGAUAUUUGUCAUAACUAUUUUACUGACUCUUGGUAAUCACAGAGUGAAUUACUGCUAUUACUCUCCAACAUUACAAUGAAUCAGUUCACAGAAGCAAUGACAAAGAAGAGCAGGCUGGGUGCAGUGGCUCACCCUUGUAAUUCGAGCACUUUCCGGGACAGUGGCAGGAGGAUCACUUGAACACAGAGUUUAAGACAAGCCUGGAAACAUGGAGACCCUGUCUCCACAAACAAACAAACAAACAAAAAAAGCUAGAUAUGGUGGCGUGUGCCUCUGUUCCAGCUACUCGGCAAGCUGAGAUGGGAGAAUUGCCUGAACACAGGAGUUUGAGGCUUCAGUGAGCCAUGAUCAUGCCACUUCACUCCAGCCAGGGAGACUCAGUCUCAUAAAAGACAAAAACAACCAUCCUAUACACACACACACACACACACACACACACACACACACACACACACACAAACACACAGUGAUUUAUUGGACAGACUGAGUACUUUACAACUAGAGAGUUAUGCAGUAAAGUGAUGGUGUCCUAAAGAAGAGUACCCUAGUAUUAGUUACUCUUUUUUAAAUUUCAACUUUUAUUAUUUUAGACAUGGAGGUGCAUGUGCAUAUUUAUUACAUGGGAAUCUUGUAUGAGGCUGAGGUUUGGUGUAUGAAUCCCAUCACCCAGGUAAUUAGCAUAGGACCUGAUAGGUAGUUUUUCAGCCAUCUCUCAUCCUCCCUCCCCACUCUAGUAGUUGACAGCAUCUGUUGUUCACAUAUUUUUGUUUCUGUGUGCUCAAUGUUUAGCUCACACUUAUAAGUGAGAGCAUGCAGUUUUCUGUUGCUGUGUUAAUUCUCUUAGGAUUAUGGCCUCAAACUGUAUCCAUGCUGCUGCAAAGGACAUUAUUUCAUGAUUCUUUAUGGUUGCAUAAUAUUCCACAUUUAUAUGUACCACAUUUUAUUUAUCUAGUCUACCACUGGAUGUUUAUGUUUUAUAUUUUUUUUAUCCAGUCUGCCAUUGAUAGGCCCGUGGGUUGAUUCCAUGUCUUUGCUAUUGUUAAUAGCACAGCAAUGAACAUAAUCCCACUGACAAUGUUAGACAGUUA
ensembl:lncRNA